UCGUUGCAUUAUUAUUUGUAUGGAGCGUGUCCUAUCGAUCGAAGCGCACCGAUGGUGUUUCGCAGGGACAUGCUCUUUUCGCUGAUUUCCCUUGGCACAUUCCGUGCCGGAUGUUUAGGUGAAAUCGGGGUUCGCAAGUGAGGAGCUUUCCCAAAACACGGAGAGCCUGGGAAGGGAGAGGCCGAUUAUGACCCCUCGCUCCGCCGAGACAGUUGCGUUGGGUCGCGCACCACAUGCGGGCCGAGCCGACAAAGAUGAAUGCAAGCCUGACUUGCAUCACCGUUAGAUGAUACUACUUCUCGGGUCAUCCUGCUUGGCAGGUUUCGACAAUGAUCCUUCCGCAGGUUCACCUACGGAAACCUUGUUACGACUUUUACUUCCA
rnacentral:rRNA from 1 species